rnacentral:rRNA from 1 species
CCUACGGGUGGCUGCAGUGAGGAAUAUUGGUCAAUGGACGAGAGUCUGAACCAGCCAAGUAGCGUGAAGGAUGACUGCCCUAUGGGUUGUAAACUUCUUUUAUAUGGGAAUAAAAUGUUCCACGUGUGGGAUUUUGUAUGUACCAUAUGAAUAAGGAUCGGCUAACUCCGUGCCAGCAGCCGCGGUAAUACGGAGGAUGCGAGCGUUAUCCGGAUUUAUUGGGUUUAAAGGGUGCGUAGGUGGGUUGUUAAGUCCGCUGGAAAAGUAGGGGGCUCAACCGGAAAAUAGCAGUUGAAACUGGCAGUCUUGAGUAGGGUAGAGGUGGGCGGAAUUCGUGGUGUAGCGGUGAAAUGCUUAGAGAUCACGAAGAACUCCGAUUGCGAAGGCAGCACACUGGACUGCAACUGACACUGAGGCUCGAAAGUGUGGGUAUCAAACAGGAUUAGAUACCCGAGUAGUC